rnacentral:rRNA from 1 species
CUAACACAUGCAAGUCGAACGAGAUCUUCGGAUCUAGUGGCGCACGGGUGCGUAACGCGUGGGAAUCUGCCCUUGGGUACGGAAUAACUCAGAGAAAUUUGUGCUAAUACCGUAUAAUGUCUUCGGACCAAAGAUUUAUCGCCCAAGGAUGAGCCCGCGUAGGAUUAGCUAGUUGGUGAGGUAAAAGCUCACCAAGGCGACGAUCCUUAGCUGGUCUGAGAGGAUGAUCAGCCACACUGGGACUGAGACACGGCCCAGACUCCUACGGGAGGCAGCAGUGGGGAAUAUUGGACAAUGGGCGAAAGCCUGAUCCAGCAAUGCCGCGUGAGUGAUGAAGGCCCUAGGGUUGUAAAGCUCUUUUACCCGGGAUGAUAAUGACAGUACCGGGAGAAUAAGCUCCGGCUAACUUCGUGCCAGCAGCCGCGGUAAUACGAGGGGAGCUAGCGUUGUUCGGAAUUACUGGGCGUAAAGCGCGCGUAGGCGGUUUUUUAAGUCAGAGGUGAAAGCCCGGGGCUCAACCCCGGAAUUGCCUUUGAAACUGGAAAACUAGAAUCUUGGAGAGGUCAGUGGAAUUCCGAGUGUAGAGGUGAAAUUCGUAGAUAUUCGGAAGAACACCAGUGGCGAAGGCGA